rnacentral:rRNA from 1 species
UACAGAGGGUGCUAGCGUUGUUCGGAAUUAUUGGGCGUAAAGGGCGCGUAGGCGGCCCAGUGUGUCGGGUGUGAAAGCCCACCUCUUAAAGGUGGAAUUGCAUUCGAAACUACCGGGCUGGAGUGUCGGAGAGGAUGGCGGAAUUCCUGGUGUAGAGGUGAAAUUCGUAGAUAUCAGGAGGAACACCGGUGGCGAAGGCGGUUCUCUGGGCAUGUCCUGACGCUGAGGAGCGAAAGUGUGGGGAGCGAACAGG